CGGGGCGCUCGGGUGUGCGGGGCCCCGCGGGUGUGGGCCCCGGGAUGGCGGGGCCGUCGUUCACCGGGUCCGUUCGGAGUGCGCGGCCCCGGC
rnacentral:tRNA from 1 species